CGACGAUUUAAAGAAAACAGAGAAACCCGCCCGAUCCCAUACCCUCCAGCGCGCCGCACCAUGACCCGCCGUCGCACCAUGCCCCCCCGCCGCGCGCCGCCACCCCAUGACCCGCCGUCUCACCAUGCCCCGCCGCCGCGCAGCGCCACCCCAUGACCCGCCAUCGCACCACGCCCCGCCGCCGCGCACUGCCACCCCAUGACCCGCCGCCGCACCAUACCCCGCCGCCGCGUGCAUCCACCCCCUGCCCCGCCGCCACGCGCAUCCACCUCCUGCCCCGCCGCCGUGCGCCACCACCCCCUGUCCCGCCGCCGCGCGCGCAGGAUUCUACCGGCCGGAGAAGCCGUGAGCCGGAUCCAGCCUCGCCCCUGAGCUCCGUCUUCUUCCCUGCCUCCCUUCCGCGAACCGGACGCCUCCUUCUGGGUGGUCCUGCACCGCUGCGUCUAGCGGUCCAACCUCGUCACCCGAGGCCGUUCACCGUAGCAGCGCCUCCCUCCGUCCGCGCCAUGGGCUCCCGUGCACGGCCCUUGCCGAAGCUGGCGCGCACGUCCCUGCCCCACCUUUUCUCCCUCUCUGUUCAUGCACUCCAUGGAUUCUUGUUGAGUGCACGUCAUGUGUUUGCUCAAAUGUCUAAGUGCACUGUAAUACUAGUUUUGAUGUGUUCACUGUUUAUUUGUAGCUACCUUGUGCUUGCUAAAUGUCACAGCUUACAAUACUUGGAGAAUUUUUCGUGUGUGAUCUGUACUUUAGGUGCUAAUCCGAGAAUUCGUGUCCUCAAGGAGUUCAUGUAUUACUACCAUAGGAGUUCGAACACUACACCAAGAAAAAGUUCACCACACAGUACAUUUUAGAAAAAGGACACUCUGGAAAGUUUACUGGAAAGAAUACUUAACAAGAGCCGCAUGUUUGUUUUACUGCCUAAAGGUGAUCUGCUGUGAAGUUAAGUGAGGCAAGGCUAGGACAAGUCUGACUGUUUUUGAGUGGGAAGUUCUGGGUUCUGACUUGCAUUUGAUGUAGGUGAGGGGCAACUACCCAAAAUUUCUUGAAUGAUUGGUUCUUCCAUUUCUCAGUUCUACAAUGAUGAUCUUCCCAAAAAGUUCCCAAUUUUUUUGAUCAAUUUCUCAGUCGGUUUCGUAGAUCCAAGAAUAAAUGAAUGCAAUGCUAAAGAUGUCACUGGCAUAGAAAAAUGUAGUACGUGGUUCUUCCUGGAAUGUAGAUAGCUUUCUUUGUCCUCAUUAAAGAAAUAUAGCCUGUAUUAUUGCUAAAAAUGUCCACAUUAGUUCAGACUCAAAAAGACCAUAAAGUUCAGAGGAAGAUAAAAUUAGCAAGAGAACAAAAAAACAAGGUGGCUCACCACAGAAACCCGGGAAAACCGAGGUCUCGUUUUCUUUUUUGCUCUAGUUUAUUCUACUUUGGCAUUUGGUGGAUGAUAUUUAUUUCAUCCUUCAUCACUGAUCUUGAGAAGGAGAUUGAUCCGUGCAUUUCUACUUUCAGUGUGUAAAUCUAUUGAUUUUUAGUGGUUAGGAAUUUUGGGAGAGUAGAAACCUGGAAGAGCACUUUCAACCGUCCAGGAAGACAACAACGACAACCAGUAUGAUGGAUGUGGGAGUUAUUUUGACAUUUCAUCGUACAGUUCUUCUCUUUGUGUAGUGUUGUGUGUUUUCAAGUGCUUGAUGAAAAUUGAUGUUCCAAGUAGUUCAUGUAUUAUUGGCUGAGGAGUUCAUGUACUGCCUAGUAAGUAAACCUGUUCAACGAUGUAAAGCCACGCAAGUUCGAAAGGAUUCACAUCAGUACAAACUCGAGAGGGCAUGUAUUACCGUCCAGAGUACAAACUUUUAGCUUACCAAGAAGUUCAUGUAUUACCAUUUAGAGGAGUUCAUGUAUUACUAUCCAGGAAGUAUAACUAUUGGUAUAGAAAAUGUUCAAUAUUUGUUCGAAAGCUACCUGCAAAAGAGAAGCCCUUCUUACAUCCACAACAUCUUAAUUUUUAUUCAGUUUAAUUUCCAAUUUUAGUGCAUUUCAUUCUUGUUUUUAGUUCAGUCAGUUUCUUAUUUUAUUUUCCUUCAAUUUCUAAUUCUUUUUCAGUUUAGUUUCUAAUUUUACUAAAGUUCAAUUUCUAAUUCCAAACAGUUUGUGUAAAUUCCCAUCGAGCAGGUGUGCACGGCGAGCAGCUACUGAACUUGUGCUGGUGCUGCUUUUGGAUUGCCCAGGAAGCACAUGAUUAUAGAAGGCAAAAUCUGUAACCUAUAUAAUUCAUGUUUGUUCUGACACUUAAGCAAUUUUUAUGUUCUGACACUUUAGCCAUGGCGAUUCUACACCCCAUGACCCGCCUCCUACCAGGGAGCAGCCAGGGCCUCAUGUACAAAAGGGCUCCGUCUCUUCUCAACCCAGAGCUAGCUAGGGAAGACGAAGCACAACAAUACCUGGCAGUGAGUUAUAAUCCAUCCACAAGCAGCAGCAGCACAAGUGUGUGUAGGUUGAUCAGACUGUACAUACACACACACCCUUAUAUGUCGGAGGAUCCACGGAGCGCGAUGGAGGGGAGGGCGAGGCGACGCGCCAGCCCGUCCAGGAUGCGCACCAAGGCUGUCAGGGUGGAGCCGGAGCCACCACCGACCAGGAGGCACGAGCCAGGGACGAGGGCGGCGGUGGUGUACUACCUUUGCCGCAACCACCACCUGGAGCACCCGCACUUCAUGGAGGUGACCCUCGCCUCCCCGCAAGGCCUCUACCUGCGAGAUGUGUUUGACCGGCUGGACGCCCUGAGAGGGAAGGGAAUGGCAGCCAAGUAUUCCUAGUCCUGCAAGAGGAGCUACAAGACUGGAUUCGUGUGGCACAAUCUUUCUGCGGAUGAUCUACUGCUGCCCACGCAAGGAACAGAGUACGUUCUCAAGGGCUCCGAGCUCCCAUUCGACCAGUCAAAGCCAAUGCCAAUGCCAGAUCAUCAGCGGAAAGGAUGUCAACAUAGUAUACUCCCAUGGUUGCCGCAGAUUAGAAAGUUCAUGAAAAAUAAAUAUAGAAGUUCAGAGAAGAGCGUCGGAAAAAGAUUUGGGAAAAGACACACACCAAAAAAACAUGGGAAAGGUUACGUCCAACGACAACGAGCAGGCGGCAAGUGUAUUGAUGAGCAAUGGGACGGUGGCAUGGAGCAGUUGAGUAGGUGUGCGUAGUUCAAGUUCACCAGUAUUUGUAAAUGCUGGUAGCAGUACUAGUAUUUACAAAUUUGUAACCUAAGAACUAAGCUUGCAUCUCGUUACUUCUAUGGAAGCACUGACCUCGUAAUUUUAUUGGACCAACCACUAACUUGAGAAUUAGACAUGGUGCUCAGUGUAUUCUCUCAAUCUUGGUUGUUCUUGCAGUGCUUAUAAGCUUGACAUCUUUGAUGAAUCCAGCCUGAACUGAAGCCUGUCGGUGAGCCGGGCGCUGGGCCAACCACUGUCGUCUAUCUACCUCCUUCCCCGGUGAGCUCAUGCUCUUCUGCUCUUGACGCUUGAACUGCCUGCAAUUCUUUUCUCUGUUUGAAAAUUCCCAAAGCAUCAGUACUUUGUAUCAGGAUACACCAUGUUAUUUCUGCAAAUUUCCAUUAUGCUUGUAUGUCCAAAAUGUGUGCAUUUACUACUUUUGAUUUGUUGUAGUGCAGAGAAGUUACCCUGUUGCGGGCUGACCUGGAGGCGGCUCCUCCAUGUUGACACAAUUGCAGGACCAACGUGCUACUGACCACGCAAGCUUCCUCAAGGAGCUCGUGCCCAACGAUACUAAAAGGAAAAACUGCUCCAGUUUUGAACUACUUAUUCAGUCAUGCUAUUACGGAGUGAAAAAUGGAGUGAAAGUGUAUUGCAAUUGAUCUCUCUUAGACCCUGUCAAUCCUCUAUCUAUCCUUUCUUUGCUUGUUUUUUGGUCUGUAAUUCAAAAACUUUGACCUUCGUAAUUCAAUUUUUGGUUAAUUUGUUAUGCCCAGUACAAACCAUUAAAUCUGAAGAGGCUUCUAAUAUCAAGAAAAUGUGCAGUCGGUGUGGUGUAUAUGUCAUUCAUGUAUGAAAAUUU